AUACGGGAGGCAGCAGUAAGGAAUAUUGGUCAAUGGAGGCAACUCUGAACCAGCCAUGCCGCGUGGAGGAUGAAGGCCCUCUGGGUUGUAAACUUCUUUUAUGGGGGAAGAAAUCUUUUGAUUCUUCGAGAGUUGACGGUACCCCAGGAAUAAGCACCGGCUAACUCCGUGCCAGCAGCCGCGGUAAUACGGAGGGUGCAAGCGUUAUCCGGAUUCACUGGGUUUAAAGGGUGCGUAGGAGGGUAGGUAAGUCAGUGGUGAAAUCUCCGGGCUCAACUCGGAAACUGCCGUUGAUACUAUCUGUCUUGAAUCCCGUGGAGGUGAGCGGAAUAUGUCAUGUAGCGGUGAAAUGCUUAGAUAUGACAUAGAACACCAAUUGCGAAGGCAGCUCACUACACGAAGAUUGACUCUGAGGCACGAAAGCGUGGGGAUCAAACAGGAUUAGAUACCCUGGUAGA
rnacentral:rRNA from 1 species